rnacentral:lncRNA from 1 species
ACACUUAGAUGGAUUCUCCUUCAGGUUGCUCACAGCCACACAAAGUUGUCCGACCUCUACAGAAUGUCCACAUGAAGAUCAAUGCAGAUCAGGCUCUUUGGAAGUACUAGCUUGCAAGGAUCUUGGAGGUUGAUUUUUUUCUUUAUCUUCAAGGACCUUAGAUGCUCCAAAGGUUGAAAAAAUCUAGACAAGGAAGAGG